CAUUAUCUCUCUCUGAAACGACCACCUCUCCCUCAUCCUUUCCUCUUCUACGCAAAAAACUCCAACUUGAACCCUAGCUUCUUCCUCCAUCUAUAUAUAAUUUCUUAAGCUCUCUGCCAAAGGAGGAGAGAAAUAAUCUGGAAAAAUCAUAUUUAUACUUUCAAUUUUUGUAUUCUGUCUCUCUCUCAAGUUUCAAUUCGAAAUCCAAAGGGAUAGAUCUGAAACGACCUCUGCGCCUCAGUUUCACUGCCCCAUAAAAGGUAAAUAUAACUCCACCCUCUUUAUUUUGUUGUGUG
rnacentral:lncRNA from 1 species